CAAGUAGCUAAAGAUGUCUGAGGCUGUGAGAAUCAACACUCAGUAUGUGGAGGAUAUCCAUGCCAAUGCCAAUGCAAAGUACUUGCAUGAAAAAGUGCACAGUGUGAGGCAUGAGAUAUGGAAAUGAAAUGCCCUUUGGUCUGAGGUGGCUGACACUGACCCAGGAAUGUAUUGCCAUGAAGUUUGUCAUUGCGUACUGAUACUUUUAGAAAUCUACAUGGAACAGCAGAAGAGUAUUUUUGGGGGAUGCAAG